rnacentral:rRNA from 1 species
UACGUAGGGGGCAAGCGUUGUCCGGAUUUAUUGGGCGUAAAGAGCGUGUAGGCGGUUUGGUAGGUCCGCUGUGAAAACUCGAGGCUCAACCUCGAGACGCCGGUGGAAACCAUCAGGCUAGAGUCCGGAAGAGGAGAGUGGAAUUCCUGGUGUAGCGGUGAAAUGCGCAGAUAUCAGGAAGAAUACCCGUGGCUAAGGCGGCUCUCUAGUACGGUACUGACGCUGAGACGCGAAAGCGUGGGGAGCGAACAGG